rnacentral:lncRNA from 1 species
UUAAAAUUGAAAUUAAUUGUGUAUCCACUUCCUUUAAUCAAGCAAUCAUGAGGCUUUAUUGUGUAUCUUGUUGCAGGGGCGGGUGGGAAGGCCCCACGGAAAACACUUUGUGACCUUCGUGUGGCCACUCGGCAGGGCUCUGGGACAAAAGACAUUUCUCCAAGCUUAGGAAGCACCUCUCCUCCCCAGCAGAGAGCAGCCUUUUAUGCGGACAUGUCUGGAACUCUCCAAACCACCAAGCCAUCACUGUCCUAACACAUAGUAUUUACUGAAUACUUACUAUGGCCUCGGUGCAGGGGUUUUCCUGGGACUUUUCUCUUCUGAUCCCCACAACAAUCCAGUUGGGUUAAGUACCAUUAUUAUCUGUGUUACAGAGGGGGCAGUGGAGCUUCAGAGGCGCUAGCUAGCCAGUCCAAAGCCACCGUGAGGUUUCCAGAGUCCGUUUCAGUGCUGUGGCUCAAGGAACGAACAUUAGAGCCAUGGAAAAGCAGCAGAUCACUUGGUUUCCAGUCUCCUCGCCGAAGUCUUCCAGAGAAAGCAGCCUCAGCUGCAUUCACCAGAGUCUCUCUUGGCCUUACAUCCCAAUCACCUUUACCCUCUCUCUCUCCUUUUCUCCACUGCACACCCCUCCCCCGCUUCCCUUCAGCUUUGCUUUCCUGCUCUCUGUCUUUCUUUCCACAGGCAUGUGAUUGUUUAGAGCUUCUCCAUGUCAGCUCUGGCCGGCUCACAAAGAGAUCUUAUAGCUAUGAGCAUCGACGUAUAAGUUUUUGUGUACACUAUACACUGAGGAAUGGAACUGCUGGGUCAUCUAGUCACUAUACGUCCAGCCUUUUGAGGAAUGAGCACUGCUUUUCACAACGGCUGUACCAUUUUACCCUCCCACGGGCAACGUAUGAAGGUGUGGAGUUCUCCAUAUUCUCCACAGCACUUAACAGAUCUGCUUGACCAGACGACAAACCCAGCACCUUCUCAGGCAGCCCUCGGAUGGCUGGUGGUGUUGAAGAAUUUCUGUGUUACAAAAUUCUGCGUUAAGAAAGGUAAGGUAUUAUGUUGCUAUUUGGGCUUGGUUCUUUUCUCUGAGAAAAUCAGGGCAAGUCAUCCACUUCCCCCAGAGACUCAGGACAGGUACCAUGGCGGCCUCAGGCUUCUUUUUCUCAGUUCAAUGUCCACACACCAUCACUGUUUCUGGCCUGACCUGCAGGCCUCUUCUACAAGUGCCAGGACAGGGACUUUUAAAUGUUCUUUUAGGAGCAGAACCCUGUUUUCUCUCUCACGACCCUGAGGUCAUGACCUGAGCCAAAAUCAAAAGUUGGAUGCUUAACUUACUGAUCCCCCCAGGCACCCCCAGAACGCUGUUUUCAAAUGAAAUCUCACGAAGAGCCCAACAUACAAGAUACAAGUGGGGUUGUUCUUGUUGAGAAUGAACAGGGAGAGUAGAAUCUUCCUGCAGAGAGGCUCACCCCCAAACCCCUCGCCAGAGCUGGAGAAGCCCAGCUUGCAAACCACUGUCCUGGUUUGCUCCUUGCAAA